UCCUGGGAUAGCUCAGUUGGUAGAGCACGAGACUUUUAAUCUCGGCGUCGUGGGUUUGAGCCCCACGUUGGGCA